GAAAUUUGUGGAGUGGUUGAAAAACAAGUUUUAAUGACUUUAAGUGUUUGUAAACUUCUGACUUCAACUGUAAGAACAUUUAGCACCUAUAAAAAAACACGCUUAUCAAUUGACCUCAUUGGACAGAAAGGAGCACACCUCCCCACAUAUACACCAUGCAGCCAAUAUUCAAUAUAUUUUCAUAUAUAUAUAUGAAUGCUGGUUGUAUGGCGUAUUAUGUAACAUGAAACGCAAAGGGGCACAGCUCCCCACACUCACGAGAAACAGCAUACAAUGCUUGCAUGAAACUGAAAAUGUUUCAUGAGAUACGAAAUGUAUUCAACAAUCAAGUAAACAUUUUAUAGAAACAAUUAGCAUCUAAACAUCCAUAGUGUGUCUUUAAAUCAGAACUUUGAAUAAGAAAAUACUUAAUUACGGCCUAAAACAUUGCUAAUAAUACAAAAUAAAGACCUCAUUAGCUACUUAUAUACAGAUGUACAAACGAGUAAUUAGUAGCUAAUAUGUGUACUUUAAAAUACAAUUUCACCAAAUAAGUCCCAGUAGAUUCAUGCAGGGUAGUAACGACAUGAUUUGGCACUAUGUUCAUUGCUAUUUACCUAGCUAACGUUAGCUGACUGGCUCAUUAGCUAAGGUUACGUGAUGUGUGUGAUCUUACACGUUGUUUACCUAGCUAGGUUAAUUGUUUACCUAGCUAGUUAGCUACAUGUCUUAAGCUAAAGUGUACUGUUAGCUAGCUAGCUAAUGUUAGCUGGCUGUCUCCCUAGCUGACAUUAUUAUUCGUAUCCCAGAGCCGUUUGAUUUGCUAGUUAGAGCCUAAUGUUGGUUAGCUCCCAGCAGAUUCAUACAGGAUAGGAACAACAUGAUUUGGCACUAUGUUCAUUGCUGUUUCAAUUUAAGUAACAUAUUAGAAUGAUUUGGCUGGAUGCUACAAUCCUUAUUGACAGAUUUGAAGAAACAGUGCAAAGUUUAUUUUCUGAAAGGAAUGAAAAUAGUACAUCCCUUUGUGUCAAUAUCGUCAAAAUUAUAUAAGUACAUUUAGCACCUCUAAAAAAAACACGCUAAUCAAUUGUGAACAAUUGACUUCUUGAUUACAGGUAUGAACUAUUUUACACACAGCCCUAUCAUUCACUAUCACCCAAUAUGUAAAUAUACUCUAUAAUAUAACCUAAAUUACCUUUGGGUCUAAUCCAGUGCAAUAUUCAGCCUACAUUUUAUUAAUAGGAGAAGUUUAUUACUUUGCAACCCUGUCAACACAAUGUUUCUUAUGCAAAGUGAGCAAUUAAAUUAUGUAAGAGCCUGCGGGAUCCCAAAUAAUAUUUGCGAUAGCAUCAGCCUGGGCACAGCUGAAUUGCUCAAUGCUAAAAACAUACAAUGUACGCACCAAAGACGAGAGUUUAUCUAAAAGGUUUGAAUGGUUUGUAUUGUAACUGAUAUGGCUUGUGUAAUAACAUAUUAACACAUGUAAUAACGCAUUCACUGACUGUUGUCUGCCUGUGGCCUAACGAUGCAAUUUUGGCUUGUACUCUGUGUUAUACCUUCCCCCUCUCUCUGUUUCUCUAUAUACUAACUACACUGGAAACCCCCACAAGGGUGGCUGACUAAGAUAAUAUACACACUGAAACCCAUAAAUACACGCACACACUCAAAACCCUUUGGGAUGGGCUCCAAAGACAAAGAACUCUGUCGAGAACCAAUGGGAUACUGACACCAGGCUGGAGAGGACUGUCUAUCACCUACAAGCAACCUACCAGAAGCCAGGACUACCAGAAUCUACCUACGUCAUUUCAAUGUAUAAAUGAACUGCACAAUAUGUUUUAGGCCUCUUCUUCUUCCGAUAGUUCCCUAAGAGCUGGACGAAUGGGGGCCGUGCAGCACGUUUUGCCAGAUAUCAUUACGCUUGAAUAAACGGCCUUUACUAUACCGUAUCCGCCUUGUCCAGAGUAUCAUCUUGGUCUCGUUUCUCAUGUAACUAAUCAUCAACAAAAUGGUAGCAAGAGGAUGGUUGAAACCCAUGAAUUCGGUCCAUAGACUUGAUGAGAGAAAAGACAAGUUGACGACAGAUUCUAGAAGGACGGGCGACCUGUCUACAGGAGCCAUCGGGGAUUCAACUCGCCUCAGGAAACUGAUCAAAGAGCUCGACACUAUAAGCUCUCUCUGCUCAGGUUCGAAAGGUCCAGGAGGGAGAACUGCCGGAGGAACCAGUGCCACUGAAGGUAAAAGUUGGAGACUGGGUAAGGGUAAAGGUCCACAAGAGAAAGUGGCUGGAACCCAGAUGACUGGUCAGUACGAAGUGAAGAAGGUUACUUCACACUCAGUCCAGGUCAAAGGUAAAUUGGGCGCACCUUGGCACCACCUCACACAUUGUACACCAGCUCCAACCCCUUCCCGCACACUGACGGAAGUCAGAACUGACCUAAGUGGUCUACAUUCGGCCCCAAAUCUUGCACCUCCUUAGUCAGGGAAAAUGCGAGGUUCAGUCCCAUAUUCACUGACUAAGUCACACCGUACUCCUUGGGAACGUUUGGGGAUCUCCGGACCCCUGUUUGUUAUUUUUCUUCUCAUAGGAGGAGUCACUGUAUGCACACUCACAUGGCUUAUAGACCAACAGAUGCACCCACUACAGAUUCACACACUGAAUUCUACUCUGCCAGGUGAAACUAACUCUCUCUCCUUUUUUCCCCUCUUAUCUACCACAAGACCAUACCGUUUCUAGGCGUGAGGUGGGGGUCACUAAGUGCACCCCCCAGGAGUUGAAGAGCAUCCCUUGUGUUUGCCUUUCAAUGCCACCACCACCGCUUAUCUGCCUUGGAGCCUUUUGGGUAAUGCGCGAAAUAGUCUGGGGCUACCUGCCAGGACUUAUUCCAGUUUGAACUGGU